UACGGGGGAUGCAAGCGUUAUCCGGAAUCAUUGGGUGUAAAGCGCCUGUAGGUUGUUUGAUAAGUCUGUUGUUAAAGCCUAGGGCUUAACCCUAGAAAAGCAAUGGAAACUACCAGACUAGAGUAUGGAAGGGGUAGAGGGAAUUUCUAGUGUAGCGGUGAAAUGCGUAGAUACUAGAAAGAACACCGGUGGCGAAGGCGCUCUACUGGAUCAUUACUGACACUCAGAGGCGAAAGCUAGGGUAGCAAAAGGGAUUAGAUACCCCUGUAGUCCUAGCCGUAAACGAUGGAUACUACAUGUUGCGUUUUUAAUGCAGUAUGGUAGCUAACGCGUUAAGUAUCCCGCCUGGGGAGUACGGUCGCAAGGCUG
rnacentral:rRNA from 1 species